rnacentral:rRNA from 1 species
CUCAGAAUCAACGCUGCGGCGUGCUCAGACAUGCAAGUCGAACGAUUAAAGCUCUCUUCGGAGAGUGCAUAGAGUGGCGCACGGGUGAGUAACACGUAAGUAAUCUACUUCGAGUGGGGAAUAACGUCCGAAACGGACGCUAAUACCGCAUAAUGCAGCGGCAUCGUAAGAUGACAGUUGUUAAAGAUUUAUCGCUUGAAGAGGAGCUUGCGGCAGAUUAGCUAGUUGGUAAGGUAAUGGCUUACCAAGGCUACGAUCUGUAACCGGUCUUAGAGGACGGUCGGUCACACUGACACUGAAUAACGGGUCAGACUCCUACGGGAGGCAGCAGUCGGGAAUUUUGGGCAAUGGGCGAAAGCCUGACCCAGCAACGCCGCGUGAAGGAUGAAGUAUUUCGGUAUGUAAACUUCGAAAGAAUAGGAAGAAUAAAUGACGGUACUAUUUAUAAGGUCCGGCUAACUACGUG